UGGGGAAUAUUGCACAAUGGGCGCAAGCCUGAUGCAGCCAUGCCGCGUGUGUGAAGAAGGCCUUCGGGUUGUAAAGCACUUUCAGCGAGGAGGAAGGUGGUGAGCUUAAUACGCUCAUCAAUUGACGUUACUCGCAGAAGAAGCACCGGCUAACUCCGUGCCAGCAGCCGCGGUAAUACGGAGGGUGCAAGCGUUAAUCGGAAUUACUGGGCGUAAAGCGCACGCAGGCGGUUUGUUAAGUCAGAUGUGAAAAUCCCCGGGCUCAACCUGGGAACUGCAUUUGAAACUGGCAAGCUAGAGUCUCGUAGAGGGGGGUAGAAUUCCAGGUGUAGCGGUGAAAUGCGUAGAGAUCUGGAGGAAUACCGGUGGCGAAGGCGGCCCCCCUGGACGAAGACUGACGCUCAGGUGCGAAAAGCGUGGGGCAGCAAACAGGAUUAGAUACCCUGGUAGUCCACGCUGUAAACGAUGUCGAUUUGGAGGUUGUGCCCUUGAGGCGUGGCUUCCGGAGCUAACGCGUUAAAUCGACCGCC
rnacentral:rRNA from 1 species